rnacentral:rRNA from 1 species
AUUGAACGCUGGCGGCAGGCCUAACACAUGCAAGUCGAACGAGUGGCGGACGGGUGAGUAAUGUCUGGGAAACUGCCUGAUGGCGGGGGAUAAUUACUGGAAACGGUAGCUAAUACCGCAUACCAUCGGAUUUUCCCAGAUGGGAUUAGCUAGUAGGUGGGGUAACGGCUCACCUAGGCGACGAUCCCUAGCUGGUCUGAGAGGAUGACCAGCCACACUGGAACUGAGACACGGUCCAGACUCCUACGGGAGGCAGCAGUUGGGAAUAUUGCACAAUGGGCGAAAGCCUGAUGCAGCCAUGCCGCGUGUAUGAAGAAGGCCUUCUGGUUGUAAAGUACUUUCAGCGGGGAGUCGUUACCCGCAGAAGAAGCACCGGCUAACUCCGUGCCAGCAGCCGCGGUAAUUC